UUUCUUCUACGGUCACCGAUAUCGUCUCACGUCUUUCCCCGACCUUUCUCUCUUCCAUUAACUAGCUCUUCGUAACGCCGGCUGCAGGAUGACUUGUGAGACCAAAUUUUCUUCUGAUUGUUUGCCUUAUAAUCCCUUCCACCAUUUUCCUUUCUAUGUUUUCCGCUUCUAAUAUGGUUGAUUUGGAAGAAUUUGUCGAGAGUGACCAGUGCGAGGAAGAGCAGAUUGAGCUCCCAUUUUGCCGAUAUGCCUUUCGAUACUGAUUUUUUUCAAAAUCCCCUGGAUGCUAUGCACCUCCGGAGAGUACAGACAUCCUAUGAGAGGUAACUUGCUGAUAUACUGAGAUGCUGAUGUCUUUAAUUAUUUAAAUGGAUUAGCUUAAAUUAGUGGAAUCGCAUUCAAAACCACAAGAUGUUUUGAUGUUACAGAAAAAGCACCUUUGGUAGCUUUAAUAUUUGCAUAAUGUAGUUUUGUUGUUGUUCAAUUAUUUAGUAAAUUUGUACUACUUUAUUGAUUUGCUUGAAAAUAAUAGAGCUUAUAAUAGAUUUUGAGUUGCUA